rfam:Ovis aries breed Texel chromosome 2, whole genome shotgun sequence.
UCCCUGCUGGCUCAGAGGUUAAAGUGUCUACCUGCAAUGCGGGAGACCCAGGUUCGAUCCCUGGGUCGGGAA